rnacentral:rRNA from 1 species
GACGAACGCUGGCGGCGUGCCUAAUACAUGCAAGUCGAGCGAAUUGAUAGGAGCUUGCUCCUAUCAAUUAGCGGCGGACGGGUGAGUAACACGUGGGCAACCUGCCUAUAAGACUGGGAUAACUUCGGGAAACCGGAGCUAAUACCGGAUACGUUCUUUUCUCGCAUGAGAGAAGAUGGAAAAGACGGUUUCGGCUGUCACUUAUAGAUGGGCCCGCGGCGCAUUAGCUAGUUGGUGAGGUAAUGGCUCACCAAGGCGACGAUGCGUAGCCGACCUGAGAGGGUGAUCGGCCACACUGGGACUGAGACACGGCCCAGACUCCUACGGGUGGCAG